GGACAGUGUGUCCCUGUGCAGCCUGGACUGAAACCUUGAUGCUGGUCUGUUGAGGUGUAAUGGAUAGGUAACAGAAGACCACUUCCCUUCCUCCUCAGGGCUUCAGCAUGACUGAGUGCUUCCUGCCCCCCACCAGCAGCCCUAGUGAACACCGCAGGGCCGAGCACGGCAGCGGGCUGACCCGGACCCCCAGCUCCGAGGAGAUCAGCCCUACAAAAUUUCCUGGAUUGUACCGGACGGGUGAGCCUUCACCUCCCCAUGACAUCCUCCACGAGCCUCCUGAUAUCGUGUCAGAUGAUGAGAAAGACCAUGGAAAGAAAAAAGGAAAAUUUAAGAAAAAGGAGAAAAGGACUGAAGGCUACGCUGCCUUCCAGGAAGACAGCUCUGGAGAUGAGGCUGAAAGUCCUUCCAAGAUGAAGAGGUCCAAGGGCAUCCAUGUGUUCAAAAAGCCCAGCUUCUCUAAAAAGAAGGAAAAGGAUUUUAAAAUCAAAGAAAAGCCCAAAGAAGAAAAGCACAAAGAAGAAAAGCAUAAAGAGGAAAAGCAUAAAGAAAAGAAAUGUAAAGACUUGACGGCCGC
rnacentral:lncRNA from 1 species